AUUGAACGCUGGCGGCAUGCCUUACACAUGCAAGUCGAACGGCAGCACGGGAGCAAUCCUGGUGGCGCGUGGCGAACGGGUGAGUAAAGUAUCGGAACGUGCCCGGUCGUGGGGGAUAACGUAGCGAAAGUUACGCUAAUACCGCAUACGAUCUAUGGAUGGAAGCGGGGGAUCGCAAGACCUCGCGCGAUUGGAGCGGCCGAUAUCAGAUUAGGUAGUUGGUGGGGUAAAGGCUCACCAAGCCGACGAUCUGUAGCUGGUCUGAGAGGACGACCAGCCACACUGGGACUGAGACACGGCCCAGACUCCUACGGGAGGCAGCAGUGGGGAAUUUUGGACAAUGGGCGCAAGCCUGAUCCAGCCAUGCCGCGUGCAGGAUGAAGGCCUUCGGGUUGUAAACUGCUUUUGUACGGAACGAAAAGGUUUGGCCUAAUAAGCUGAGCUCAUGACGGUACCGUAAGAAUAAGCACCGGCUAACUACGUGCCAGCCGCCGCCGUAA
rnacentral:rRNA from 1 species